UGUAAAAGAACCGGUUUGCGGACUUCCAUUCCAUGUGUGAUAUGUACCAUACACUUGAGAGCCCCAAAGCAGAAAGACCAAGCCAUUGAGAUUCCUGCUGAGCCACAGGACCACAGCAUCUGUGAAGAUCUCCCAGCCUUGACCCUCAUGAGAGGGACAACAUGAUGCCGUGUGGAUUGUACUCUAGAGGACUGUGUGAGUCCAAGCCCACUCUUAGUUUACCAUCUUUGAGGCUGUGUUAAUGUAAUCCGAGAUGCACGCCGGUCUAACCCGUUCUAUAGCCAAGUACACUACUGUUGUAGUUUAGCAUUCCAUUAUAGCCCAGUGAAAUGAGUGCAUUGAAAAGAUCGUCGCAAGUGGCUUACAAACGCUGGAAAGACACAAA